CAAGUCGAGCGGCAGAGAGGAGCUUGCUCCUCUUGAGAGCGGCGGACGGGUGAGUAAUGCCUAGGAAUCUGCCUGGUAGUGGGGGAUAACGUUCGGAAACGGACGCUAAUACCGCAUACGUCCUACGGGAGAAAGCAGGGGACCUUCGGGCCUUGCGCUAUCAGAUGAGCCUAGGUCGGAUUAGCUAGUUGGUGAGGUAAUGGCUCACCAAGGCGACGAUCCGUAACUGGUCUGAGAGGAUGAUCAGUCACACUGGAACUGAGACACGGUCCAGACUCCUACGGGAGGCAGCAGUGGGGAAUAUUGGACAAUGGGCGAAAGCCUGAUCCAGCCAUGCCGCGUGUGUGAAGAAGGUCUUCGGAUUGUAAAGCACUUUAAGUUGGGAGGAAGGGCAGUAAAUUAAUACUUUGCUGUUUUGACGUUACCGACAGAAUAAGCACCGGCUAACUCUGUGCCAGCAGCCGCGGUAAUACAGAGGGUGCAAGCGUUAAUCGGAAUUACUGGGCGUAAAGCGCGCGUAGGUGGUUUGUUAAGUUGGAUGUGAAAUACCCCGGGCUCAACCUGGGAACUACAUUCAAAACUGACUGACUAGAGU
rnacentral:rRNA from 1 species